GCAGUUGAGCGCUGAGGUUGGUACUUGUACCGACUGGAUGAGCAGCGAACGCCCUAAAACGCGUGGGGAAUCUGCCUUUGAGCGGGGGACAACCUUUGGAAACGAAUGCUAAUACCGCAUAAAAACUUUAAACACAAGUUUUAAGUUUGAAAGAUGCAAUUGCAUCACUCAAAGAUGAUCCCGCGUUGUAUUAGCUAGUUGGUGAGGUAAAGGCUCACCAAGGCGAUGAUACAUAGCCGACCUGAGAGGGUGAUCGGCCACAUUGGGACUGAGACACGGCCCAAACUCCUACGGGAGGCAGCAGUAGGGAAUCUUCGGCAAUGGACGAAAGUCUGACCGAGCAACGCCGCGUGAGUGAAGAAGGUUUUCGGAUCGUAAAACUCUGUUGGUAGAGAAGAACGUUGGUGAGAGUGGAAAGCUCAUCAAGUGACGGUAACUACCCAGAAAGGGACGGCUAACUACGUGCCAGCAGCCGCGGUAAUACGUAGGUCCCGAGCGUUGUCCGGAUUUAUUGGGCGUAAAGCGAGCGCAGGUGGUUUAUUGAGUCUGGUGUAAAAGGCAGUGGCUCAACCAUUGUAUGCAUUGGAAACUGGUAGACUUGAGUGCAGGAGAGGAGAGUGGAAUUCCAUGUGUAGCGGUGAAAUGCGUAGAUAUAUGGAGGAACACCGGUGGCGAAAGCGGCUCUCUGGCCUGUAACUGACACUGAGGCUCGAAAGCGUGGGGAGCAAACAGGAUUAGAUACCCUGGUAGUCCACGCCGUANACGAUGAGUGCUAGAUGUAGGGAGCUAUAAGUUCUCUGUAUCGCAGCUAACGCAAUAAGCACUCCGCCUGGGGAGUACGACCGCA
rnacentral:rRNA from 1 species